rnacentral:rRNA from 1 species
UGGGGAAUUUUGGACAAUGGGGCAACCUGAUCCAGCAAUGCCGCGUGUGUGAAGAAGGCCUUCGGGUUGUAAAGCACUUUUGUCCGGAAAGAAAACGUCGUGGUUAAUACCCGUGGCGGCUGACGGUACCGGAAGAAUAAGCACCGGCUAACUACGUGCCAGCAGCCGCGGUAAUACGUAGGGUGCAAGCGUUAAUCGGAAUUACUGGGCGUAAAGCGUGCGCAGGCGGUCCGCUAAGACAGAUGUGAAAUCCCCGGGCUUAACCUGGGAACUGCAUUUGUGACUGGCGGGCUAGAGUAUGGCAGAGGGGGGUAGAAUUCCACGUGUAGCAGUGAAAUGCGUAGAGAUGUGGAGGAAUACCGAUGGCGAAGGCAGCCCCCUGGGCCAAUACUGACGCUCAUGCACGAAAGCGUGGGGAGCAAAACAGGAUUAGAUACCCUGGUAGUCCACGCCCUAAACGAUGUCAACUAGUUGUCGGGUCUUCAUUGACUUGGUAACGUAGCUAACGCGUGAAGUUGACCGCCUGGGGAGUACGUCGCAAGAUUAAAACUCAAAGGAAUU